UUUAACGGCCGCGGUACCCUAACCGUGCGAAGGUAGCAUAAUCACUUGUUCUUUAAAUGAGGACUAGUAUCAACGGCAUCACGAGGAUCCUACUGUCUCCCCCCUCCAGUCAGUGAAACUGAUCUCUCCGUGAAGAAGCGGAGAUACGCAUAUAAGACGAGAAGACCCCAUGGAGCUUUAAACCCAACAACACCCGCCUCCCUUAAACCCUAUUAUCAGCCCGGCGAUUGUUUGCUUGGUUUUAGGUUGGGGUGACCACGGAGUACAAAACAUCCUCCAUGAAAAAAAGCUAACUGCCCUUAUUAGAGAAAGACAUUUCCAAAAAAUAACAAAUUAAUUUUUAAUGACCCGAUAUUCGAUCAACGAACCAAGUUACCCUGGGGAUAACAGCGCAAUCCGCCCCGAGAGCCCCUAUCGACAGGCGGGUUUACGACCUCGAUGUUGGAUCAGGGUAUCCUAGUGGUGCAGCAGCUACUAACGGUUCGUUUGUUCAACGAUUAAAACCCU
rnacentral:rRNA from 1 species